rnacentral:rRNA from 1 species
GACGAACGCUGGCGGCGUGCUUAACACAUGCAAGUCGAACGGAAAGGCCCUGCUUUCGUGGGGUGCUCGAGUGGCGAACGGGUGAGUAACACGUGAGUAACCUGCCCUUGACUUUGUGAUAACUUCAGGAAACUGGGGCUAAUACCGGAUAGGAGCUCCUGCUGCAUGGUGGGGGUUGGAAAGUUUCGGCGGUUGGGGAUGGACUCGCGGCUUAUCAGCUUGUUGGUGGGAUAGUGGCUUACCAAGGCUUUGACGGGUAGCCGGCCUGAGAGGGUGACCAGCCACAUUGGGACUGAGAUACGGACCAGACUCCUACGGGAGGCAGCGGUGGGGAAUAUUGCACAAUGGGCGGAAGCCUGAUGCAGCAGCGCCGCGUGCGGGAUGACGGCCUUCGGGUUGUAAACCGCUUUCGCCUGUGACGAAGCGUGAGUGACGGUAAUGGGUAAAGAAGCACCGGCUAACUACGUG